GCCUCAGUGGCUGAAUGGUUAAUGCGGUGACUCAGUAGCACCUUGGUGUGGGAAAUCAAGGCGCGCGGGUUCGAAACCCGCAGGGGAUA